GUUAACGUAGCGCAGAGGUUAGCACAUCCGCCUACGACACUGAAAGCCUGGGUUCGAAUCCUAGCGAGAACA
rfam:Stomoxys calcitrans breed 8C7A2A5H3J4 unplaced genomic scaffold Scaffold455, whole genome shotgun sequence.